CACGCCACACGGACACGGGCAUCUCCCCAGUACCUACGACCCCAACUCCCUCCAGCGCCGUCACCACCGCCCCCUCUUCUGCGACCACCACGCCGUCCGCGCCGCCCUAAAGCACACUGCUCCUUUCCCUUCCCAAGCCGCCCUGGAUCUGGCGAUGGAGGUGGCCGCCGUCGUGGCCAUGGAGGUCUCGCCAGCUGCCUUCGAAGUCCUACAUCCCCGAUAACGGCGGGAUUGCAGCCGCCUGGCCAAGGUCGUCGGCCCUCGACGAGCUCCUCCAUAACUUCUGGUUCCCCACAGUGCCUAUGGGCCGCCUCUCCCUCUCCAUCCUACGCUCCUCCUUCUCCACUUCAGAUUUUGGCUGAAAAUCGCCUCUCCCUAUUCCCCUUCCAAUCUGUAGCACAGGCGGAGAGCCUGGUUGUGUGCGGCGGAGAUGGCGCCCCGCCUCUGCGCCUCAUAAGGCUGGACGUAGCUCCGCCGAGGCCAUGACUUUUCCAGGUAUCGAUCUAAAACAGGUCACCAACCCAUUGGAACCUCUCCCUGUCUCUUUCUUCUCCAUCUUCCUCAUACGGAGUACUAUCCAAUGGAACCUUAGUUUUUGUAUAGUUAGCUAGCAGAGACUCAAUAGUAGCAUUUUUUGCCUGUACAUCAUAGCCAUGCCCUGGAGAGACGCAAAUUAGUGCAGUUAACAAGAAGCAAUUGACGAAGAUCUUACGAGAUGGUUUGCAAAUCCAGAUAUCAAACAUAAUUUUGGUAAUAUAUAUUAUGUAUGCAAUAGUUUGAAGGGAUGCUUACCAGGUAUGUACCACUCAAAAUCUAGGUCCAGUAACUAUCCGGUUGCAAAUUCACUUCAAGUUUGUGUAACAAAUAUAUAUACAUCAACUAGGAUUUAGGUUUAACCGUUUAAGUCUGUGGUACAAUUGAAAGACUAGGGAGAAGAGGGUGGAUUGUACUACCUGAUCGCUUGUUGUACAUCUGAAAGAGAUUCAGUUCGUCUGAAUAUUCUGAUUUUGUGACAUGGUCGCCAGUGAAUAGCGCCUUUAGCAGUUUGGUCAACAAGUAGACCGAGCCCAACAUAAAAUGGUUUCACUUUCAUGAGUGAAUCUUACCUUAGAUGUUUAGGAGAAGAUCAGUAUGGCACCACAUAACUAUUGGUAAAAUGAUCGUUAAUUAAUGACAUCAUUACCAUCUAGCCAUCUUGUCUUUCCAAAGAACAACAUACGAGCUUCGUUCUCUGAAGUUUAAGAAUAAUACAGCCAUCUUGCCUUUCAAAAGAAUAACAAAGAUAAAUAUAGAACCGUGUAAGUCUGAACAUACAUGUGGGUCAAAAACAUGUAGUGUGCUCAACCGAGAUUCUCAAUCUUGUCCACCAGUAUCGGCUUAUACCUUGGACUAAAAUAUUAAGAGGUUAUCAUAACAACUAUAGCGAAUAUAAUCACUGUUUUCAGAUCAAAUAAGGAAUCGAUCUCAUGAUGGUUGAUGCUUGAUGCAGCGGAGGAUCACAGGUGUACUGCAUGCAGUUUCAAUUUAACCAGGCAGUUGCCAUCAUCGUGAGACUUGCCAACUUGAGGAACUACAACGAUUCUUUGUUCCAGCCAUAUCCGAUCCACUGGGCCGGAGCUUUCACAUCACCUACAACGCACGGUGCUCGCGGCGCGCCGUUGGCGCCAGCCUCAUUGCCGCACUCCCGGAACCCCUCAAGUAGCUCAUGCUCGUUCGGUCAUGCAGGACGGCGCUAUAGCACUAUCGUUGGAUGUGAAUCGCUUCAAAACCGGAAGCAGCAUGCGCGCUGAUGUGGCGUGUUUCCUCCUUUGCUACACUCUGAUUGACUGAUGGUUAGAUGGUUGAUGUUGCAGUCUGAUGAGGCCUAGCGGGUGUGGCUUCUGCUGAAAUUUUUUACACCAGCAGCUCCUGGUGAGUUUGAUCCCCUGAGUCAUUAUAGAGGAAGUGAGAAUGUCAGAAAGGAGAAGAAGAAAAAACCUUGCUGCCGGGGAUGACAUCCACACCAUUUUGUGUGUGUUGGUGGAGUGAUUGAACCAUGGCAAUCAGAGCUAACAUCACAUCUCCCUUCCUCAUACACACUUUUUGGGAGGGGAGUCCGGGAGGUGGGACAGCCGGCAGCGGCGCCAUUCUGUUUGGGGAUGCUUGGAUCUGGUGAUGCUGGAGCAUGGGAACGGGAAACAUCACCUCAGCUAUGGAAUUUCAAAUAGCCAAUUUACCUUUCUCCCUCAAGAUUUCUUACACUUCUGUCAGUAUCAUUGCUCUUGGGGUCUAGAUUUUGUCAAUAUCAAAAUCUGGGUACUUACCAGCAAACGGUUUGUUGAUCUAUUUACUUAGUCAAGUUCAUUUCUGCUAUGUUCUUCAGUCAAGCUUUAGAUUCUAUCCUUGAUUAAAUAGCAAUGAUGUUGUCCAAAACCUGCUAAUGUCGGAAAUCCUACUGCCCAGCAGGAUUUCUAGAAUUCUGGUGCAUCUGGUUUCUAUAACAUGGUUUGCCAACCGCGGUGAGCACUGCUCAGUGUGUGGCAGCUUUUCAUUAGGAUUGGAAACAAGAUUUGAGAUACAGGUGUAGGUCAAAUUUUGCAAAAAUUAUGGGUCUGUAGGUACAAAGUUACAUGUAGGAAAUUUUACAAUUUUCUGAGAGUAAAAAUUCAAGCAUGAAUUUGAAUAUAGUUGCAUGAUUUUUUUGCUGACAAGUUUUCUUAUAUUUACUUCUCUUUCUAUGGUAUAGGAAUUUAUGUGCCUACUUAACUGUUCAAAGAUAUCCGUUUUGUUUGUCGAUUCGAAGUUACCACAUAUAAGCUUGAGUCCAUGUGAACUGACACAUAGUUUGGAACAAAAUAAAACUUAAUACUGUAGUACAGUUUGGUGGUUAAACUACUCCUUACCUCGACAUUCUAAUAAUUUGUAAUAAUGAUAGUUGGCAUUGGUCAUCAAGACCGCUUGCAUGAAAUUAGUGGCUUGCUGCUGUUGUACUCUUCAAAAAUUCUGUUGCUUCGGUUUAUUUUACAUUUUUUAAUUUACUGUUUUUUUCGAAACAAAAGUACUAGAGAAUAUUAUUCUACAUUAUUUUCAACCGCUACAUUUUAUCUAUUUGCGGUAUGACUGUAUGGUUCUCAAUCAAAGAAGAGGCCCAACAGUCUCUUUCGGGACUUUUUAUCACCACAUAUAUAAUCUUAUUGAACUAGGAGUCGAGAACUACAAUUCCCCAAAAGAUCAUAUAUGCUUGAUGUGUGUGAACAUAUUGCAGGGAGGCGGUUCCAAUGAUGGCUCGGUUCCUGCACAGCUUCACUAAGAGGCAUAUGCUGUAUGAGAUGUUGUAUUCUCACUUCUUAGACUGUCUGUAAUCUGAUUUGCUCGCUAGGUGCUUGAUAAAAUGCCCAUCCGAGCAAACAAUUUGUUUUGUGCUACCUGAGAGAUGCAAGUUGGAUGUGGAGGACAAUCAUGUACAGCCCUUAGGUUCUAUGGUUAAUCUGCUUAACCUGGGAGGUGGUCAUCAAGUUUGAGAUGGAAAGUGUAGGUGCUAUGUACUGUUUUCAAUGAACCAAUAAAAUGCAUUGGCUAUUUUCUACUCAGAUUUGUUGGUUAUUUCUAAUGAAACAUGAAAAUACUUCUGAAAGGAUUAUAGUUUCGACUUGAGAUUUUAGUUGUUUAUGUAGACAGUAAAACUCUAGCUGUUAUUUGCUAGAUGGGUCGGUACCAACCCAACAUUUAACAAAGAAGUUAAGGAAUUGAGGUGA